GCCGCGCCUAGUUCGAUGGUGCGAACGCCGGGCACCCUACCCGGCUGGCGCGGCUCUUAAAUAGGGC
rnacentral:ncRNA from 1 species